rnacentral:rRNA from 1 species
CUUACACAUGCAGUCGAGCGGGGAUAGGGUGCUUGCACCUGAUUCCUAGCGGCGGACGGGUGAGUAAUGCUUAGGAAUCUGCCUAUUAGUGGGGGACAACAUUCCGAAAGGGAUGCUAAUACCGCAUACGCCCUACGGGGGAAAGCAGGGGAUCUUCGGACCUUGCGCUAAUAGAUGAGCCUAAGUCGGAUUAGCUAGUUGGUGGGGUAAAGGCCUACCAAGGCGACGAUCUGUAGCGGGUCUGAGAGGAUGAUCCGCCACACUGGGACUGAGACACGGCCCAGACUCCUACGGGAGGCAGCAGUGGGGAAUAUUGGACAAUGGGGGGAACCCUGAUCCAGCCAUGCCGCGUGUGUGAAGAAGGCCUUUUGGUUGUAAAGCACUUUAAGCGAGGAGGAGGCGCCCUUGGUUAAUACCUAAGGUGCGUGGACGUUACUCGCAGAAUAAGCACCGGCUAACUCUGUGCCAGCAGCCGCGGUAAUACAGAGGGUGCGAGCGUUAAUCGGAUUUACUGGGCGUAAAGCGCGCGUAGGUGGCUAAUUAAGUCAAAUGUGAAAUCCCCGAGCUUAACUUGGGAAUUGCAUUCGAUACUGGUUAGCUAGAGUAUGGGAGAGGAUGGUAGAAUUCCAGGUGUAGCGGUGAAAUGCGUAGAGAUCUGGAGGAAUACCGAUGGCGAAAGCAGCCAUCUGGCCUAAUACUGACACUGAGGUGCGAAAGCAUGGGGAGCAAACA